UAUAUCGGAACGUGCCCUAGAGUGGGGGAUAACUAGUCGAAAGACUAGCUAAUACCGCAUACGAUCUAAGGAUGAAAGUGGGGGAUCGCAAGACCUCAUGCUCGUGGAGCGGCCGAUAUCUGAUUAGCUAGUUGGUAGGGUAAAAGCCUACCAAGGCGACGAUCAGUAGCUGGUCUGAGAGGACGACCGGCCACACUGGGACUGAGACACGGCCCAG
rnacentral:rRNA from 1 species